UGGAUGCAAUCCCUCUCCAUCGUAAAAGAGUAAUAUCCUAGGCGAAGUCUUUUUUUGGCAAGCCUGUGCCCAUUCAUGUGUGGACCACAGACUCCUUCAUGCACCUGGAUUAUCAUCUCUUUGGCCUCCCUUUCAUCUAGACAUUUCAACAGAAUGUUGUUGGUUUACUUUUUUAUACAACCUAUCCCCACAGAUUACGGACUACAUGGCUAGUUUCUGAAUGGUCUGCCGAUCUCUCGGUCUAGCGUCGGGAGUGGUUGCUCUCGUACCUAUAGGUACAGACUACAGCGGCAGAUUCAAGCGCAUGAGUUCAGAGGGAUCAGUUGAACGUCUAUAGAUCGUGAUUUGAAUAUGAAGUGGAUUCCAGGGACAGCUGCUUCUAUAAACACAAGAAACGAUCUUGUGGAUUAUCAAAACGGAUUGAUAACUUGCCAGUACACGCUGAGCCUCCUCAAUGAAAUGAGGUACCUCAUUGAGGAUUACGGUAAUCGUGGUGCCGCCCAGGGGCGAUAGGGGACCAAUGCGCGGUCUAUGUGCCUAAAGAUUGAAGAAAGGCCUUUACCACUGCCUUCCGAAUGAGCCAUUCACCACGGAGCUUGGGAAACUUCAGAAAGGGCUGGCAAGAAGCUAGCAAGCUCAACAUCCGGCUGCAGAAAGACACAUCAGUUUGAUAAAGCUCAAACUCUGCAAUGAUGCGGAUGUCUAGACCAACAAGUAAGAGAGCUACUUCAUAUUAAGACAAUCAUAUAGCUCAAGAAAGUGAGUUGUUUAAAAAAAAAGUACCGUAUCAAAAUAGUCUGCCGUACUCGCCAAUCAAACUGGCCCCCUUGAAGAGCUUAUCAGUCUGCUUAUGUUUUCGGCUAUUUAAGAAUGACUUAAUUUGUCAAUGUACUUAUUGAAGACUCUGUGUGCCCCCAGGGUAAGUAUGCUGUCCCAGUUGGCCCCGACUGCGAUCAUCUUCGACGUCUCCUUCGUGUCCGUGCCGAGGUUCAGUUGCACUAUCUCCGGUUCUUGGUAAUGCCAUCUGUCCUUUUGCGCCUCAUACGCCGGCUCCAAUAAUUGCUUGUCUAAAGACUAGAUGCUGCUAAUGCUGGGGCACGCCUUAAAGUAAAGUGCUCCCCCACAGGUCCACCGUCGUCAACUAUCGAUGACCUGCCUGAAGUGUUCUUCCAGCGCUUAAUAGUCUUUCAAAAAUGUUUUUCGUACACCUGUAGAGCUACUCAUCAAGAAAUGUCUCCCAAGUCGUGUUCCAACCAGAUGACUCCAUCUCUCUCUCUCUUGGACUGUGUCCUGAAUCCUCAGAAUCAGUGUCUGAUGGUCUUCAUCUCCGCUGGAAUUUGAACCUGACGUCUCGGCUUCCUCCUUCGAUCCGUCUUGCAAGUGCAGGGUAACCCUAGGCCGGAUCUCUACUUCAUCGACUGUGUGCUUGCCGCCCAAUCCUUCCCAACUCGGGCCGCCUGUAGCUAAUGUUUUCCCAGUAGCGUCUCGUAAGCACCUUCGUGCUGAGCCGUCAGAGCACAAAAGUGGAUGCUAAACUAAAGGUGCCUCAAUGGGUGCCUUCUGCCUCAAACACUUCUCCAGCGGCUUCACUGGUCGCUGGUCUGCCAUUCUCAGUGUCUAGAACUAUAAACUAUAGUCAGAACAUCGGCUUACCUUACCAAUCGCCUACCGUGUCUCCUCUGUAAGGUCUCUCUGGAUCCCCCGUCUACCAUCGUCCUCUGUAAAGUAAAGUGUUUCAUCUAUCUUUAUCCUCACUUGUACCUCCUUGUCAGGCUUAGCUAGGCAAAGCGGUGCGCCUUCUAAGUAUAAGUAAGGGCGAGGGAGCCGCUUUCUUCUAGGGUCGACUCCCCGGUUAGCUUCUUUGCUCUCUGGCCAGCAGUCGCUCCUGUUCUUCCCUUCGGCAUCUUGUCCCGGGCGGAUUGUACUUCGCCCUCGACAAAUGGUCGGCGUCUUCUACAGGGGGUGGCUGAGCCAUCCUUUUAUUCUCUCUUUUAGUAGCCCCUCCACAGAAACAUUCAUCGUCGCCUUCAUUUCUGUAGGAUUCUCUCGGCUACUUCCUUAGUGGGUAGUGGGAGACCUGAACAACCCACUCCCUCCUUCUCGGAUAGAGAUGCUGGCCGACUCGCUUGGCUCGCCUAUCUCCAUCUCUCGAGCUACUUCCAGCGCUUUCGCCUCUUGGGCGAUUUGCUAUCGGUGUCGCAGCUCUUCUUCUCUUCUCCUUUCUCUCAUUGUUUCUUUCUCUAGAAUUUAGAUUCAAUAUCAAUUUCUAACAAGACCAGCCUUGCCAUUGCUUAUUCGGUGUUCCAGGAGCUCUCUACUGCACAUCGAGACGAGCGGUCUAUCCAGGAGUUUUACACAAUAAUGAGGACCAUUGGCACCAGCUCUCCUCCAUGGGGGAAGAGUUAUGUUCUACAUAUUCUGCCUGUGACUGUGCCAAGAAGCAGCAGAAGGCCCGAGAUCAGCAACGUCUAUUUCAGUUCCUCAUGCACCUUCGCCUAGAGUUUGAGUCCAUCAGAGGCCAGCUCCUGCACAAAUCUCCUCUGCCCACUCUAGAUGUUGCACUUUCAGAGCUUAUAGCUGAAGAGAUUCGUCUGCGAGUCUUGGGCUCCUUUCGUUCUGCUGAGCCAGCUACUUGCUUGUUGCUUCUGGCUCCCGAUCUUCUACCUCUGGGUCCUUUGCUUCUCGUGAUUCUUCUAGCCGUCAUGCAUUCGGCCAGUCUAUGGGGUGCCGCUAUUGUCAUGCCUGGGACCAUAUGCUCAAGGACUAUGCCAAGAAGAAGCAAGCUGAUCUCCGCAGGCAACAAUCCGCCUCUGCAGCAGCUGCUACUUCUUCUGCUGGGUCUAAUACUAUUGAGAUGUUCGAUGAUGUCGCAGCCACUCCAGUCCCUGCAGUUCUUCCUUCAGCACAUGGGCCCUCAGUGUCUUUCUUUGGCACAGCUUAUGCAGAUCCUAAAGGCCUCCAAGCUGGGAGGCUCCACUCCAUCGACUAGACAUGCCACCACAGCCACCACUGCGCUGUCUACCUCGGCUGACCGCACAGGUAUUUCUGGGCCCUCCUGGAUCCUUGACUCCGGUGCCUCUAUUCAUGCCCCAUGCUCACCCUUGCAGAAGCCACUUCAGAUAUUUACUGCAUAUGGAUCUCCACUCUCUGUGUCUCACCACGGAGCCAUUACCACCACUGGCCGGUUUUUUGUUCUCUCUCUUUUACAUAUUCCUAAGUUGUCUAUGAAUUUCUUUUUCUGUUAGCCAGCUUACCGAUCAUGACUGCACUGUCUCAUUUUAUGCUUCUUCUUGCUCCGUGCAGGAUCGUCAUACCAGCGCCCUAAUUGGUCAUGGUUGUAAGCGUGGGGGGCUCAAUUACAUGGACUGUCUCCAUCUGCCUUCUUCUGCUACUGGAUUUGCUUGCGUGGGUGUGUCUUCCUCUUUUUCUUUGGUUGAUCUAUGACAUCGUCCGCUUGGUCAUCUGUCUUGUGAUCGUUUGAGUACUUUAGUUCGUAGUGGUGUCCUAGGUAGUGUCCCUGUGUCGGAGUUGUCUCCAUGUAUGGCCUGUAAACUGGGAAAACAGUUGGCCCUACCUUAUCCCUCUAGUACGACGUCUCUUUCUGCUUCUCUUUUUGAUUUAGUGCACUCUUAUGUCUGGGGUCCUGCCUGAUAGCGGAACCGUUAUGUGACAUGGUCGAAUAUAAGGAAGUCUUGGAUGCUCCCCGUUUGUACUGGGAUGCCAAUUGGGAUUGGUGGAUCAGGAUGUUGCCUGGCAACUUGUUCCUCAUUGCUUUCCCUUCUAGGGAUCUUGCUCGCCGAGCUUUGUCUCAGGAGUUCAUGCAUGUGGGCCGUACUACAGUUCAGCUUCUGGAGUGGUGGCCGGAUUGCGCCACCUUUCCCCUGGGGCAUCCUAACGUCAACGUACGUCGCUUUAGCUAUUAGCUGUUGUGCACUGGGAAAAAAUGCAAGGAAAGAGAAUCAGCUAGAAGAUCGAGGCUGCGCUAAUUGAGGGAAGAGUUCUGUCUUUCGGAAGCGACCCAUUGGCAAGGAAUUUAUGCACAUAAUCCCCUAAAAUAUAACAUUCAUGCACUCCCCGAGGACUCUCGAGUAGCUAAGGAAGGGCAAAAAGGAUUCAGGCAACCAAUUCAAUAAGUAAAGAAAGAAGGCGAAUUGACCAAGCCUAGUCUAAGAGCAGGAUGAAGUAGCAAAGGGGGAACUUCUUUCCCUGGAAGGGAAUGGGGAAUGUAUUACGCCGACUAGAACUAGAAUAGAGGAACUCUUCUAAUAUAGAAUAGAUACAGCGAUGGAGGCCUAAAGACUGCAGCGAAUAGGCCAACAGCUGAGACGGGGAUAGCAGCGCUUAGCAGCGGAUACGCUAACGCCGGAUAAGCAGCCCACUGCCUCCAACAAGGGAUUCUGGGCAUGAAUGUGAAGCCCCUUCCCGGAUACCACCAACUUGGUUCUUGUUAUCUCCUUCCUCCCCAUGCAAUCAGUGACAGACAAUGUCUUAGUUAACUUUCUAUUGAGCCUACUCCUUCUCUUUGCGCAUUCGACUCCUCUGGAAACUAUGGAAGUUCCUUGCCUUAGUCAGAUAUUCAUUCGUCGCGCAUUGCGGAAUCCCGAACUGCCUACUCUAUUACGAAAGAAAGUGCCACACUCUAUUCUCUAGCAGCCCUUUAUGGAAGAGCUGAGUCAAUAGCACCGGAGCCAAGGGAUGCAGAUGAAACUUCUUUGCUCUGAUUCUAUUCUUGAUAACCUGAAACCAGGAAAGAGCCAAGGACCGGGUGAGAAUGGAACUCUCAAGGCUGAUCUUCCUCCCUUCCUUAUUUGAAUCCCGAGAAUCGCUAAUUCAUGCCACUGAGCUGGUAGUAGGGUAGGUGCUUGGGAAGCUUCACAGGUGGAGAGUCCUGUCUUGAAUGCAUUGCUUUCUUUCCCACACCCCCCAAGCCAUCUAAUCCAAUAGCUGCUUAUCUCUCAAAAUGAGUUGCUUGCUUGGAGGGCAGGCCUCUUUUUGUUUCCUACCUCGGAUGCUUCUAAUUCACAUCUUCUUUAUGCCCCAUGAGAGAAAAUGGAUAUGGAAAUAGGCUCAUGAUCGGCCUAUGCUCUUGGGGAAGUGUGUUGAGCAUUCGACUUAUCCUUCUCUUAUCCCCCCGGCAUGAAGGAAUGCCCGAGAAUCCUCCGGUGGCAGGUAUGCCCUUUCCGUUCUGGCCUGGGGGACGCCGAUUCAAGAAAGCACGAAAGCUCAUUCUCUUUCUCUUGCAGGAAGGGCCACUCUAAUCCAAUCUGUGUCCCAAGCAAUUCCAGUCUAUACAAUGGACACGGCAGUUCUCCCAAUAAGCGUUUGUGAUGAGAUUGAUAAAUAGAAUAGAGAUUGAUUUUGGGGAAGCUCAGAGGAGGCUAAAAAGGUUCAUCUAGUGAGGUGGUCUGAGGGAUCCUCAGAGUUGAAGACGUUUUUUUUUUGUAUAAAAAGAAAGCAGCUUCUUUCUUCAUUCUUUCGGGCAUGAAAAGAAGCGAAAUAUGGACUCACUCAGGAAGCACUUCACGAAGCUUCCCUGAAUUGGAUGGAUGAAGAAUCCGAAAAAUCGACAAAAGAUCAGAUUGUUCGACGAUUGGCUGCUUUAGCUUGAGCAAUAGCUAGAUGAAAGAAGACGAAAGACAUAUGGGUUGGUUGCUGCGGAUUCGCAUCUAUGAAAACCUAAAAAGUCCUCUAUUGCGUUCUUGCUGCGAAGAAGCCAUUUGUGCGGACAUCUUUCCCAAGCAAAGUUUCAUCAUGGCGAGUCUCAAAGGCAAAAGAAGUCUAGUUACUUGCUGCUGUCCUCGGCUCUGCUACCAAAGUGGCAGCAUCUAAGAGGCGAGUUCCGUCGUAGCUUCAGAGAACUCGUCUUCAUUCUUCGUCUUUCGCAAAAGCGCCAACAUAGUUAGACUUCGCAAUGGACAGAACAGACUCCGCUGUAUACGACGCCUUGGUUGCUGUUUGAAAAGCACCGAUGACAAUAUAAAUAUCUACAGGACAGAAGCUUUGGGUGCUCCAUGAAAUCCUAUUCGAAGAGUCUCACAAGGACAAGUAGAAGUGAAGAGUCCGAUACGACUGCCAAGACUCGGUCAGAAGGAUGAGCCAUUCGAAGACAAUCGCUAUCUUCCUCAGUGACGUACAUGGACGUAGCCUAUUUGUAGUCGGGUCGGAGACACCGUCGGCAGCUAGGCAUACCUCGGUUCGAGUACGAGUCGCUUUGCUUAGUAGUUCUGUGCCACCAACCAAGUCCCUCUUUUUUUUUCUCUUUGCCACUGCAGCUUGGUGCAUGCAUCGCACAAAUCAACCUACAGGAGGAUAGGUACCUGCCGAGUCUUGGGUCACUCUACGUGAUUAAGUCUCAAUUCUUCCUUUCUCAUCUUUUGCAAUUUCGCCAACGAAGGGAGACUGAGUUGCAAGAAAGAGGUUUUGACUGGCUAGAUAGGAGGUCUGGUCUGUCUUUCGUACAAGCGGAUUCGCAGCUUUCACCAACCGCAACGCAGUUCUCCGCAAUUGGUGCAAAAGCUCUUGGCGUAGAAGGAGGAGCUCCUAGACCUACUGAGGAAAGGGAAUCUUGUAUAGAUAGAUGACCCAUAUUCGCCCAAGAAGAACAAGCCACCAAAGAUCAUAGGUUCAAACAAAAGGAGAUAGCCAGUGAAUCACCGACCAAUCCUUCCUAAUUCACAUCUUUUUUGAAAAAAUGUCUUUUGUAAUUCCUUACAUAAGGACUCAGAAAAUACCGGAUCCCCACCUACACAAGCAAAUUGUUGAUAAAACUCCAAAAUAGCAUUUUCUUUGACCCAAAUCUUUUUUUUCUCCUUAUCAUUCGGAAAAAAGACAAGCAAAUUUCAGGAUAACAAACAUUAUCUAGAAUUUUUCUUAGAUUCGAACCCAUAGCUGAUGAUAGAACUAGAAUAGAUAUUUUUUGUUUCCUACUCACGCGGGCCAUAUCCUUGCUUUUCUAUCAAUUUCUAAUUCCGAUCUUCCCCCCCAAAUCUGAUAUUAUAGUGCUGGUAUAGACAGAAAUUCCGUUAUUGUCCAAUUAUUAACGGUAGUAAAUACCGGGACUUUGCAAUAUUUGAUUGAUCACAAUUCUGUAUAUUCCAUUUACUAUAAAGGUUCCUAGGGAAUUCAUUAGAGGAAUAUUUCCAAUAAAAACGGUUUGUUCUUGCAUAUCUCUACCGGUUUUAAAAAUGAGUCCCGCGGGUACAUAUAAUUCAGAAGAAUAUGUGAGUGAUUCAUACACAGCAUCUCUUUCUUUUAUCAAGGGUUCUACCUAUUUAUAUGUUUCAACAAAGAAUUGAAAUUCAAUUUCUUGAUCUUCCAUUUUUUGAAAUUUAUGAAAUUCUUCCGUCAAGCCCUGAUUAAUGAAUCUAUAAAAUCCCUCAAAUUGAAUCUGACUAAAUCCAGGUAUUGUGUACAUUCCCUCAUUUCCAUUCCGGAGCAUCUUAAUCUUAAGUUUCCUUUUUAUCGAAAAAAUCCCAUUAUUGACUCACUAUUCAUCGAACCAUACGGAUCGAUCUAGCAAUGAUGGAAUGUAUAUUCUGUUUACUGAAUCACAUGAAAUUUCAGCCAACUCCAUAUAUGUAAUGUAAUUUAUUUCAUACGUAUGAACGGAAACGAGACGGAGGAAUGAAGAGCAUUUUCGACGCAAGUUCGAAUUUGCGACAAGUACAAAUGGAAAUGAAUUGAUAAAACAUUCCUGGAAAAAAAUUCUAUCACUUCCACUUAUGGAGUCUUGUAUAGACUAUCAAAAUUGAUCCAAUUUCUACCAAUUAUUAUGAUAUUACGAUCAGAUUGGGUACCAAAAAAAGAAAUGGAUUCAGGAUGAAAUCUGCUCUUUAUGAAUGAGAUAAAGACAGAAUAAUCAGGAGCUGUAUAGAAUUUCCUUUUUUUAGCACACUUUAAUGUUCAAAAAAGAAUUCGCGGAUUGUUUUUUGUAGUCAAAUUGAUAGAUAGAAUACGAUUGAAUUGCGUAAUAGUAAUAGGAGUAGUAUUUAUUAAGUACAUGCCGAUAUACCUAUCCGCAUAUCGCAUCUUUUAUCGUCAUUUUACUUGUGGCAACAGAAGUCAGGUCGCACUAUAUCAUAAUUCCUAUUUUCUAUUCAAAAUAUUCAAUGAAAAAUUGAAGCACGAUAAUUCUCUAUAGGGAUAUGUACAUAAGAGAAAGACCCAAUUCGGUAUCUGUGUAACAAUUUCUGUUCUGGGGUUUACAUAUACACAUAUAUUUUGUUAUAAUUGAAAUUUUAAAGGAUUGAUUAUUUCAAUCAAAUAAUUGAUACUGAUUAGUCGUAAAUCAAUUUUCUUUUGUUAUACCAUUAAAGAAACACAAUUUGAGAUAAAAAUUUAAGAACCGUUCACUAAUUCUAAAGUAAAAAAAGUUAAUGGUUCCAAUUUGCCCUGAAUUUUUCGGUCUGUGACCGGAAAUCUAUUUUUUCUCUUUUCAAUAGAAGGAGAAGGGAAGUUUUUAAGCAGUGUGUCUUUUGAGAUACAAUCAAUCGAAGAGAAUAAUCUAAACUGGAUCCAAUAAAAAAUAGGGAUGAAUUUUUGAAAAGGGAUAAGUACAAUGGGAUUCAAGAUAAAAAAGAAAUUAGUAAUAGAAUAUGGAUGGAUAAAAAGAGUAUCCAUUUUUUUUGGAUCAGAUUUGGCGGCAUGGCCAAGUGGUAAGGCGGGGGACUGCAAAUCCUUUAUCCCCAGUUCAAAUCCGGGUGUCGCCUGAUCAAUAAAAGACUUUCAAUUUAUUAUUCUGCUGAUCUAACUCGACAAAUUCUUGCCCCGCAAGAAGCAGAGGCAAACGACUAGGCCUGUCGAUACUUGAUUUUGAGAAUCCAUAAUUCUAUAAAAAAAAAACUGUCCAUUUUUUUUCUCAAAAUCUGGGUUCUGGGUACCGGUCCAAACCAGUACCAAUAGGUAUGAAGUAACCCUUACUUAUUAAUGAUUGAUUCGGACAUUUAUUUGAUUUAUGAUAUCAAUUGAAUCAAAUAAAUAGUGAGAGUCAAUUCUGGGAUUCAGAACUACGAAAGUAAGAGGUCGGAAAUCUUAGUAUCCAAAGGUUCCUAAAGGACACUCCAUUUUUGCUUCUAGGAUUGAAGAAGAGAUUAUACGAAAGACUAUCAAGACUUCCUAAUUAUCUUACACUACCUAUACUAAAUACUAUAAUUUUGUCUACUGACUCUGUCUGGAAUUAGAUUGAAUAGAAUAGGCUGAUGGGAAAGAAAUUUAGAAGUUGUGGAAAGGACUGAAGAUACUUUGUAUCCAGACUCACGAGAGGCUUUGAGUACUCAAACAUUCAAUCAACAUGGUUGGGCGGCUCUUAUUUAUAGAGUCAAAAGAAAAGUGGAAAAAAAAAAUGUCAAAAGAGCCAGAUGAGUCUAUAGACGGAUCAAAAGAAUCCGAUCUCGAAAGAAGAGAAAUGAGAAUGCCUCGUAGCAAUUCAUUGGCAUACCAACGAUAAAUUCCUCCCAACUUUGGAAACGACCAAGUCUUGUUUUCGUCAUUCUUACCAUUUCUAUUCAAGAGCCGAGUUUGAGAUUUGAACCUCAUUCCGGCUCAAAAUAAAGCUGCUAAGGACUGAAACUGAGCAUUUCUCUUUCUGUCUAGCUUAGAUAGCACAAAGAUGCAUCGGAUUGCACCGCAUUAGCUCGAUCCUUUUCCGUUAGAGUCAGAACUAGAAAAUGCUUUCUUUGUCUAUACCUAGGUCUUAUUAAAAAAAAGCCCCUCGUCUUUUUUUUUAUAAUGCCCGGCUUGGAAAUAAAAAAAAACAAUCAUAUAAAAAAAAAGUAAAGACAGUUGUCCCUUUCAAGGCAUUAUUACUUAUUAACUUAACAAAUCUUGGCUUAAUUUGCGCUGGCUUAUAUGUAUUCGACUUAUCCCUCGUGGCUAGGAAGGGGCGCAUCAUAUUCCUCUCUUUAUGCUUUAAAUCAAGCCAUUGCAAUUCCAAUCUCGAUCAGUUCAUGCCAUAAAUCCAGCUCUUUCUUCUCCUGGACCAGAUUGAAGUCUCGGAUCCACUAAUACGAGCAGCGCGAGCAGUGGUGCAAUGAAUAGUAGUUGGAAGCAGGCAGCUCAAUAAGCGAAUCUGUCCCGGAUUCAAUAAGUGCAUCGCUUGAUGAAAGUCGGAUGAAACAAGAGAGUGAGGUCCCUGACGGAAAUAAGAAGGUUGUAUAAAUGAAUGAAAGAGUCCUCACAAUUAGAACUAAGGAAAAAGAGAGCUAGUAAAGAGCUCCGUAAUAGGAAAAAGGAAGAACUUUUUUUUUCAAUCCUGCCUUGGUCUCUAGUUUGCUAUAACAGAUAGUAGGCUAUCAACCGUUUCUCCUUUGAUCAAAGUCGACAAGUCAUGCCAUAAUAUGGCUUUCUUUCGAGCGGAAGGACUAGUCCCCUUCUUUUGGCUGUACUAGUAGCUCUCUAUACCUUCACUUCUAGUUGAGGCAGCAUCUCUAUGUUUUAUUCGACUAGAAAGAAUCCUAGUCUAUCGAGGAAGUAAUAAUAGAUAUGCCAAUUAUAUUAAUCUCAUCGCCUAAAUUUCCAAGGAGAAAGAAGCUAGUGAGCAAGUCCAUAUUCAGAUAUAUAGUCAUAUGCAGAAUUCUCAAUCGCACUUUCAAAAUCCUGUGGGCGGAGAUUGGAUGAGUAGUGUGCACCAUUGGAUUACUAUACUAUGACUGAGUCAACUAUUUUUUUCUAAUGUCUUCUUUGUAAUGAUAAUGAUGGUAGUCAGUCAAGAUUGAUCUGUUAGACGAAUAGUCAGCCAUCAGCCUCGUGGCCAAUCAAUCGCUAGUGCAUUUGUGGUUAUUUACCGACCAUAAUAUUCAAAAUAGCAAAUGGAUUCUUCGUCUCAAUGCCAUGGUUUUCAUAAGCAUAAGGAGCCUGGCCUGGAACUCCCCUACCAUUGGAAUUGCAUCCACGGGCCUUUAUAUCCAUUUCAUGAUAUUAGGUAAUAAAUCUUAAUGCAAUAACUUUUUUUUUUUGAGUUUGUAGUCCUCCCUUAUGCCAUGGGCUUUGUUAGCCAAGACGAGAGGUACCCUAGAGGCUGUGUCCUGUAGAAAAUCGGACAAACAUAGGCGGCUCCCCUGGUGCGCGGGGGGCUAGAAAGGCAUUCGUUCCAAGCCCCGAGAACACCCAAGCAAAGGAUGUCUAUAAAUUGAACAGCCCUUGUAUUUUAACUCCCUGAAACGACAGCGGAAAACGAUCCAUUGCCGCCGACAGAUCAAAAGAAUGCAAAACGUCCCAUUUUUACAAGCGGCGGAGAGGCCCUUUGCUUGACUUGGGCUCGAAAGAGGUGGGCAGCCAGCGGCAUGAAUCACUCAUUUCGGGUUAAUCCCUUGGUCGAGGGCUUUGUUAUCGAAAAGGUAGUGGUAGUGGGUUCAGUGCAAUUCGAGGAUAUGAGCGCAUUGGCUAUUUCCGACGCUUCAAUCGCCAUUUCGACACCGGGUCAUUUUUUUAUGUCUUUACCGGACGAUCUCGUAGCGGUGGCCAUAUAAUUAAUAGGUUCCCUCGUUCGUAGAAGGGCACGAUGAUUGAAUGCAUAACCCAUUCUUGAUUAAAGCAAUCAUCAAACCGUAGGAGGGGACUGCUUCCAAAAUCCUUCUUCUCCCACAGUUGGGUAAGGGGGAAGUAAAUUACCCUAGAGUACUACCCGGCGACUUCCCUUGCCCGCUUUUGCUCCGAUGAAGGCAUUGGAAGUGCUGUUGAUUGUGCUCCUCAAAGAAAGAAGGUCAGUAUCUGCAGUGGAGUAAGAAUCCCCCGUGGAACAAUGGUCUAGCCCCACGGACUAGUCGUUCAGUAGUCUUACAGAGCAAUUACUCAAUGGUCCAGUUGUUUAGCCCUACUAGCGGAAGCCAAGAAUUAAUCGCAGUUGUUGGCAGCGCACAGCAUAAGUCUGACGCCUGCUGUAUAGCCUACCGUCAAGGGCCCGGCAAACGGAACUCAGAGCUGCUCAAGGCACCACCAGCCCUUGGCACAACGAUCAGGUCAAGCAAAGCGCUCCAACCAAAGGGGCGCAGCGCGCACAUAACUCCUUAAUAAAAAAGAAAAAGCAGGAAGUUUUCAAGCUCUUCACAUUGUGAAACUGGAAUCCUUAAAUUGCUUAAUGGCAUUCGAUUUCGUUCCGUCGGCGAUCCUCGUUGUCAUGUCUCCUUGUGUUUCUGUUCCUCUAGCUAGGCUAGAGCAAUAUAUUCUAGAUUGAAAGAAUUACAUAAAUAGUUUUGAAAUCCUUCGCGUAUUAGGAACCAGCCCGGUCUUUAGCUAUGUAUAGGACUUUUCUUGGGAUGACUGAUUGACUGUAAUGGGAAUGAGUAGCCCCUUACCCUAAACAAGCGAGCACAAUAGAGCUUACAGUUGUCGUCUAUCUUCGCCCGAUCACCGAACCGUCAGUCUUAACUCCUUGAAUCAGUCAGCAAAUUAGUCAGUCCAUUAAUCUGUAGUGGAAUAGUCUCACCAGCCCGUAGAAUAGUCAAGUAGUGGGUGAGUAGAGUCUUUGCUUUUGUGGGCACCGGGCACACAGCAAGAAGUAGCUCCGUCAACACAGCUCUAGGCGCACGCAAUCAGCUCAGGAAGAGCACAACUCUAACUAGCGAAGCGAGGCGAUCAGCUCAAUUGAAAGAGAGGGCGCGGUGGGCAUACAAUUCUUCGAUUUCAUUUCUUGCCUGUUGCACUGCGUGAUAAGAAAUUUCAUUUAUUGAUCGGAUUCGAUCAGAAAGGAAGGGCAUUUUCUUGUCCCACCUGGCAAGGUGAAAAUCAAAAGAAAGAAUUCGUUGCUUCAACCUCUUUUCUCGUGGUAGGUGUAGGUAGGAGAGAGAGUAGAAGGGGGAGAUUCGCUGCAGCGGCUGCCUUGGCUGCAGAGGAAAGGCGAUUGCUUGGUAAUGGUUGGUAAUCAAAUCAAAAGAUCUUUUCUUUCGUUUUCGUGGAUAACAUUGAUCCACAAUCUUUUCUCUGGUUAACCAAUCAGGAAUAACCAGCUCCUACCCGCUCAAGUGAGGCGAGAAUAGCCCCGUCCCCCUUGGCUAAAUUCUUGUAUUCCUUCACUCAACCUUGGCUUGAUAGGCUUAGCACGAUACUACGGUUCUUCAGGCCCGACUCGGCAUGGUUCACCACGUUCCUCAGCUCUUUUGGCUUGUUAUAGUUUAACCCCGGCUCCUAUGGUCUAUGAUUUCUCUUCUUAAGACCCGACCGCUAGGUUCGUUCGAGAGGCCGGGCACGGUGUAGCUUGGGGCGCUUCUGCAAUAAAUAAAAAAAUAUAUGUAGAGUACACAUCUAACGGUUCGCUCGACUCACUUAAGUUGUCGUUUUGUCAAACAUCAGGUGGCGCAUAUCCCAAACCGAGCCGGCUAGUCAACACCGGUACUACAACAGGCUGGGGAACACCUUGCCUUAUCUCAGUAGGCUACCCAACCCACGGCCGUGAGAAUGAAUAUUUCGCAUUGUUCGACUGGAUAGCGAUAUUCUCCAUGUGUUGAGGGAAAGGCAUCUUCACGAACGGGAGGUUCGGGAUGGGGAUGUGGAUAAAGCCGGCAGAAUGAAAUGUUGGCCCUUCACUUGCCUUAGGUGGUGGGAUAAGAGAUGGAGACUGGAAAAGGCUUCCCGGAUGGGGAAGAAAGACUGAGGGAUAGACGAUGAGGUUCCCUCUUCUCCAACUUAUUGUCUACCCCUCCCUCUGGUAUCCGCUGCCCGACCUUUAUUGUUCGUUCGCUCCUGACCGGUGUCCCCUCCCGGAUGGUCGAGUUCACAAAUGACCUUGCUUCAGUCUGACUGAGCCGGUGAGGGAAAUCCCGGCAAAAACGGUAAAUCAAACCGGCUCAACGGGUUCAAAGGGCUUGUCCUUCCGGCCCGCAACAAACACUCGCUCGGAAAAGGGCUGGCUAGUUCUGUCAUCCGAGCUCGAAAGCGUUUGUGUGGAUUUGAAAGCGCACGUGAGGCAAUUCCGUGUCGUUAGGGCUUAAAAGGGGCACCAGAGCUUGUCAUAACUCGCGCAUGCAGCUAUCUAUAGUGUGUUCUCGUGUUGCGAUGAGCUCUCCCCUCGACCGGGAAGGAGCGGGAGAAGAAAAGUCGAUCGAAGUGCCCCCCCUCACCUAUAAAGAAGGUGUCCGAGCGAAACGGCUUAAAUAGCUACCGAAGGAACUAGUUGCUUUCGCUGCAGGGACUAGCAACCCUCCUAGCUGCCUGAAGACUAGCUGCCUAACUAGAAGCAAGGACUAACCGCUUUUACAAGUUGCUUUUUUCAGGGGCUAGAAAGACAUACUCCCGGAAAAGCUCGGCUCGCAGGAGGCUCUCUAAGGAACAAAAUCGCCAGCCCCCUAGACUAGAAAGAAGGGCGACCCGGUCUCCGCAAGUCGUAAAGGUCAAGUUGGUGACCAACCGAAGUCGUAAAACGAAUGGUACGGAGGUAGCAAAAUUCCUGGGGAAGAAAUAGACAUGUCGUGCGCCCUAUGAAGGACGGACCGGAAAGGCGGGCGAGACAGAAUGGGCGGGCACUACUAACAAAGCCAAGCCUUUUCCGCGAGACUGCUUACAUAGUUUGAGGUUUCCUUAUAUAUAUAUAUAUAUUAGCCCAGUCAUGAACCACCCUGGUUGGAGCCAUGGUCUACCCAGCAGUGCUUCAUAUCCUCCUUGCUCUUUGUCUAAGAUUGGACUAAAGGUACCGGCACCCUGGCGGCAUUGCAUCCUUUUUUUGUUUUUUCUUUUGGCUAAUAAGCCCUUAGGUUGUACGCCAGCCAUACGUAGCUUGAACUGUGAUGGCCACAAUGCUUAGCUAUUGCCGAUUCCCAAGACGCCUUUGGUUAAAUGUUCACACCUGAUCCACCGUCUGCACUUCCUACAGAAACUCCCGGAAAUGGAAACAGGAAAACAGGAAUUGUCACCUCCCGGUCUGCUGUAGUCAGCCUCACGGUGUGCCUGUCUGCCGUCUCCACGGCUUUCCCUUUUGCGGGCUGCUCCUCAUCAAGGCCUUCGAGUGCCGAUCUUCGCUUGGGCCGGCUCCGAGGCUCUACCCUGGCUUUUCAUUGGUUCCUCCUUUUUCGUAUCGCGCGCGCAUCUUCAAGCAAUCGGGGGAGGCGCCGAGUACAUAGACGAGGCGGUCCCGGGAAUGAUAAACAUUACCUCGUGCUCUGGAACUCCAACACUUCGGUUGAAUAAUUAAGGUGCAAUCUUUUGAAACCGUAGCGUAGGCGAAACCUGGCAGCCCGCCAAGAGUUUAACGUUCUCCGGUCCUUCCAGGAAACCCUACUUUCCUUCCUUCCCCCGUUCGUCACCGGGGUGAUGCCUAAUGCCUAAUCAAUGCUUCACGGCCACCGUGCGAUGCUGCACGCUUUGUCGCUUCGCUCGAGCAGAGAGGAUCAAAUCCGUUCGAAAAACACUUUUCGAUCGGUUGGUCGCAUUGCAAGAAAAGUCGCGCUUAAAGAAAGCUCCUACCGCGCCAGAGAUGAGAUCACUUUCAAGGAAAGAGAUAACUUGAAAGACUUUCCAGCGCCCUUGGGAAUACUACUGUAGAGAAGCAACGUGGGGGGUAAGACUAACCUGCGGGCAGUCCGUACUUUUUUAGUAGGCCAACCUAAGACUUGCACCGUGGUAACUCCGAGAACCACACUUCUCACUUACUCAAUCACACCUCCUUUCAUCACCCGGAAUCCUAUCGCUUCUGACCAGGCGGAUAUUCCUUAGAAGGAGGUGACCUGCACCAAGGCCAAUGAGGAACCUCACAGGCAUAGCCUCUCACUAAACAGACCUUUCUGAGCAGCUUUCACUCUCAUAGCAAAGCAAGAAGCAAUGCUUAUCAUACGUCAUUCUUAAGAUAAGGAAGGGAGGUCGGAUACUUAUAUAUUCUCUGUUUAUUCAUUGGCUUUAGCUUCAGAUCAAUAGGAAUCGAAGCUAUGUGAUCGAUCGAGCUACCCGCAGAGAAUUCUUUAGUUAAGCUUGUCGGCAGGCAGGAACUUAAUAAAUAAUGUGCUUCACGACCAAAAUCAUGUGAUCCGGCUCUAAGGUCUCGGCUUAAUCACCAGGAAUGCCACCCUAAACAGCGAACCUUACCUUGUGUGAGCGAUUUCACUUGCUUGCUAGAAUAGAAGCACGAGCGGACCGCUUCCUCCAGUUAGGAUGCUGUUACUGCAGGGCAGGGUGAAGGGGAGGGCCAGGACUCAGCGAAAAGAGUUGUUCUCGCUUGCCUUCAGCCAGCUUCAGACUUUAGUGGAAAUUCAUUCCCGUCUCGGAUCUUAAUCCUUAGGAUUCAUUCGGAGGAUCCGGUGAAGCCUUUUAGCAGGGAAUAAUUCUAAUUGAAUUCCAUAAUCAUCUGAUUCAUCAUCUGCUAUUUCUUCGUAUGCUUUUUUUUGUUUUAGCAGAAUCGGAUUUGCUUCGAAGCUCUCUCUAUCUAAGGAAAGAGCAAAGAAAACAAAGCUAUAGCACACUCCUCCUCAACAAGUGCUAGCGCAUAGCGCGAUGCUAGGAUUGCGCUUGCUGCAAAGGAAAGGUAACCGUAACCAUAACUGUAUCGUCUCCUACUAAGACCUAGCCUAGCCACCGCCUUCUGUUAUCUUCCCUUUCCGUAUCCAUCCUAGGGUAAGAAGAAGCAGAAGAGAAAGCCCUUGAUCCGAGAAAGAAGGCUUUUCAAAAUCAACCACCCGGGAAUGAAGGUAGGGCAGAGGCAUUCGAAGAAGCUGUUUUUUCAGACGCAGAAAACAGAAGAUAGCACUGGAGAAUCGGCAACCCUAGAAUAUAGGUUUGCCAGAAAGACCGAUUAGCCAAGAGUUCACCCCCUUGUCUUUUCGGCGGAUCAGCUACGAAACCAUAUUUGUUUCCGGAUAGGUCUUUAUUAGGCUGAUUCCUGGUGAAUGAGCCGGGUGAUUCCCUUGCCCUUGACAAAAGCACAAGUUGUAACGAGUCUUUCAACUCAUGAUAUGCUUUCUAAUAUACGCUAUUAUGAGUUGAGUGAAGGGCUUUGGUUGGGUCUAGAGAGAGUGAGUGUGAUUUUCACACUGAAUCAUUCAAUUCGAAAGGGGUUGACAGAGUUCCAACAAAAUAAAUAGCGAAAUAGAAGUUCCGUUCCGCUCGUUGUGGCCUUGACACAGCGUUAAAGGGAGAUGGGGUAUAGAACCGGAAUAAAGGACUAGAAGAAAGGCGUAAUCCGGAACAGAAUAGAAAUUAUAUGAAAAAAGCAUCCACAUCAACUCUUUCAGAUGAAUAAGAUGCCAAUGAAGCAUCUGUAGAAGUAUAAGGAGAGUAUGGAAAUGUUUCCGAUAUACGAGUGGUUUGGUUACAUAAUAAGAAAAACAUGAUGAUAAGUCCGUCCAACCUAUUUACUUGGAAGUAGAACGAGAUUUUCCAUUGAGGGGAGGGCGGUGGGAAGGAGGGAAACCACACGUUCAUAUUGGCGGCAACCGACUAUUUCUCCAAGUGGGCGGAGGCCGUACCUCUAAAAUCCGUGACAGGGGCGGCGGUAGCAGAUUUCAUCCGCACCAAUAUCAUCUACAGAUAUGGGAUCCCCGCAUUUUGUUCUCCAUUCAAGAACUAAACCAUGGACAAAUUCGGCGAGAAGUAUCAAAUCACACAGAACUUCUCUACGGCAUACAAUCCGCGACCCAAUGGACUUGCUGAAGCGUUCAACAAGACGCUAUGCAUGAUAUUUAUGAAGGUCGUCUCCAAGAAUAAACGCGACUGGCACGAAAGGCUGCCGGAAGCUCUAUGGGCCUACGGGACCACGCAUCGCACGGCGACGCAGUCAACACCUUACUCACUAGUCUUCGGCGGCGAAGCGGUUCUUCCGCUCGAGGUACAAAUUCCCUCGCUGCGGGUGGCCAUGCAGUGCUCUAUGACGAUGGAGCAAAACGCGAAACUUCGGCUCGCUGAACUCGAGGGCCUGGAUUAAAAAAGGCUGCAAGCUCAGCAAACGCUUGAAGUAUACCAAGCAAGGAUGUCUCACGCAUUCGACAAAAAAGUGCGCAGGCCUUCUUUCAAAAAGAGAGAUCUCGUCUUGGCUAUAAAACGGCCUAUCGUAAUCUCGCGCCGAUCCAAAGGAAAGUUUGAGCCAAAAUGGGAAGGGCCAGUAGAAUGGGUCUUUUCAAAUUGUGCAUACCAGCUCAUCACUGCUGACGGACGCAGAAUGCCUGCCAUCAACGGGCGUUUCCUAAAAUGGGUACUUCCCUUGAAAAGACAUGCACACGUGGGAGGAGUGUAAAUUGCAAUAUAAAGCAGGUCACUUCAUCACGACGCAGAAGCCGUUACACUGUUUGAACAUGCUUGUCUUACUUGACAUCCUUCAUGCGUAUCCGAUUUUUAUCCAAGCAUGAAGGGACGAUUCGUAUCUGGGGCAGUUUGCUUGCUUGCCUUUCUCGAGCGGAUGGAUGCUGCGUUCUUCAAUAAAACUUGCAUCAGUCCCCAUACCCGUGAACAUGCUGGCAGACUCGGGGACGAACCUAUGCUGUCUGUUGUCGCGGAAAAUUUGUUGAAGUAUUUCAAACAGAAAGGGGAUUUCAAGGCAGCUGCAAAAGUGGCCUUAAGGCGCGUCGAGCUUGUGUAUUAUAAACCUAAAGAGGCCUGCGAUACAAUGAAGAAAGCUGGCAGAGCAGCACAGACAAAAACAGCAUAUUACGGAAUAUAGCUGCUAUGAACUAGUUGUGGGUAGGGAUGCUUAUAUACCCUCACCCUCUAUACCAGCCAAUGACUAUGUCCCCUGGGACAAGGAUUUUUGGCAUGACUAAGCCACCUUUCGCUAGCCUCGGCCAGAAGACUUUAGAUGAAUUCCGGUUGGGAGCAAGACAGGGUUAGAAGCAGACAGGCAAAGGUCUCCUCUUUCUGUCCGCUCUUCCCACUUGAUCCACUGAUCGCCUUCCUGAAUUGACUGACUUACUGACUUCGGAGCUGCCCUUUUACGUAGUUGCCUCGGUCUGAAAAAGGGUGGAUCCUCAUUGUUAAAGGUCAAGGGUCGACAAAACAACCCUUACUCGCUUGGUCCUUUCUUCCCGUCCGAGCCAACCGCAAACAAAGCUAAGAAUAAAAGCUAAGCUAACUCUCUCUCGGUGCGGAACGAUAUGAUCUUCCAACCGAACGAACAGGAGAUAAAACAACAAUGUAAAUGAACCGAACUGGAUGGAUCACUUUCUUUCCAUCCAAACGGACACCCACUACACGAGAUGAAAUUUCGCUGCUCCACCCUCACUUCACUUUUUUCGUAUCGGAACUACGCGUCUUUCAUUCAAGCCCAGUAGCUCCUUCGAUCCAACACGAAAGGAAACAACUACCAUUUUUGACUUCCCAUUGUAUGCGGGCUACUGUGGGCUACGUUGGUCUGUGGGCACCCGUCUUUCUAUGGUCCACUAGUCUGGAGUACACUGACUGGGCUUCUUACAGGGAAGGAGGCUACUACUUUGAUGGGGCACCUGCGAUAUUCCGUUUUUCGCCUCCGCUUGCUCGUUUCACCCCUUAAUAGACGAAGAAGACUUAUUCAUAUUCGAGGAGAAGCUUUUCACUCCCGUGAAAAGCUUCCAUGUUGACGUACCUCCUACCUGAGCUGCACCAACUACUAGAGAGGGCAAGGGAGAUCAAUGUUGCCGUAGCUACUAGUCCGAGCUACUAUACUAACCCGAAAGCUGGUCCGACUACAGCGGCGGAAGUUGGCUUCCAAGACGGGGGGACGGGCUUAUUUGUCUCCUGACGGGUGCAAUAAGAAGUCGAGGUCUUAACCAGAAAGGAGGGAUUCCACGGCCUGUAAUGUAGCCGGUUACGGUUGGAGUUUGCGCAAUAAUGGCUGGUGCUUUCCUCGACUUCCGCUUCCGGCUUCCACAUCCGCUUCAGUGCUUGGGCCUUUGUUGCUUUCGGACCGACUUUCAUUGAUGGCAGAUGUUGUAUCAGCUCGGCUUGGAGCUCUUUCUUAAGCAGCUGUUGUUUUAGGUAUUCCCCAUUGGGGCUUAGGGUUAGGGGGGAGGGGCUCGGAGCUAAGUCGUGUAAAUCUACUACCUUGCCGAGUCCUAAAGUGCACUAAUGAGAAUGGAGAGAAGGUCACCUCACCCGGCGCUUCUUUGAUGAUUUCGUUUUCUUUUAUAUAGAAAGUACGAAGUCAGACUCCAAUUGAGUGGAGCACCUCGAUGAUAAAGUGAAGGAGGGGGAAUCUUCUAUUUAGAGACAUGGCACCCAUUGUUUCAACACAAGGCAAUUUUCUUCAUUAAUAAAAGAGGCUUUCUCUAGCGAAAAAUUCAUUCAUUUCAAAUGCGCGUAUAUGAGAAACAAUCCAACUGGAAAUGGGAUGUUCAGAUGUAGGCAAAGGAACCGAACAAGAUCAAUUUCUGUAUUCGAAUUUCAUAAGAGGAUCCGAUUUCAGAGUCGAGGUUAAAGAGUCAAGAUGCAGAGGAACCACCGCCCAAAGGUGCCUUUAAAGGUAAGGCCGGUAGUAGGUGGCUAAUGUUUGACUUUUUUGGACCAAAGGAAAUGAAACUGAGCGUUUCCUAAAUGGAGAUUGGGUUGAUGUUCAGUAUUUAUUACUGUAGUGAAUUCUUUCCUUUUUUUCUACUGUCCCGUUUUGCGCUCGCGAGGGAAGGGUUGGUGAGAAAGACGGAGGUAGGGUGUUACUGGGUAAAGGGGAAACUAGUGACCUGUGACAGUUGGUAUCAGAGCCAGCUUGUGAGAGUAGUUGGCUUGUGAAGCACACAAUGUCGACCUCGGAGAUUGUCAUGGCCGACAGACAUGGCUAACUGUGUGCUGUUUAUUUAUUGAUUGGCUAAAAUGAAUUUGGAAGUCAUGUCCGAAGUCGUUACCUUAACCGCAAGGUCGGGGUUGAGUUGAUAAUUCGGGAGGAGCAUGCGGACCGCUUGCUUCGCCAAGAACAACCAUUGGUUGUAGCAAUUUUGAUCAAUAGGAAGAGGAUAAGUUCGCUAGGAAAUUUGGACAUGCCACGACGAUCCAUAUGGAAGGGAAGUUUUGUUGAUGGAUUCCUGUUGAGAAUGAAGAAGAAGAACAGAGACCAGAUCUAUCAUCACUCUCCCCAAAACAAGGGAUAUUCUUCUUUCAGUUCUGUCUUUCCUUUGCCAACUCGUAGUGAUCUCUUUCUUUAACGCAUUACUGACUUUACAGGGUCUUCCUAUCAUCGUUAUCGCAACGUGCAAUGAUGAUUCCGAUGAACAGGAUCUGCAUAAAAAAUGGAGGGAUUGGCCCCCAUUUGUGAUUAGUCUCCUCCAGCAACUCUGGAGCCUGUUCCUCCUUUGUUGGAAAUCCCCGCAGCUGUGGUCAACCAGGAAGACCUCUGGAGGGAAUUGGAGCAGCAGGAGGAGGCUGCUCCAGCUCAUCCGCGUCCCGAUGCGGAUCUGGAUCCCCAUCCCGAGCUUCCUGGUAAAAAAAUGUAGUUUAUUCACAGGCAGCGACAAUCCUACUCCGAAACAGUUUAGGCGAUCUAUAAUCGCCUCAUCUUAUAUCAUAGGGAUGUGAGUACUCUUCCUGAGCCCGAACGACUGUUGAAGGAGGCUCAACAAAUCUAUCAGAUCAAGGGGGAAAUCCUCCAUAAACAGGAAGAUCUGGAUAGAGGAGGAGGUUGGCUUUGGAAUGGAGCCCAGUUCCUAAGGCAUAACACUGGGGCCGAUUUUAGUAAAGAAACGCUCCGUAAGAUCCUUCAGGAUCUGGAAAAGGAGGGUGCAAAUAGCACCUACUUUCAUUCCUUCCACAAAGCUAAAAGAAGGGAUUGGGAAACCAUAUUAUUUCAGCCGCGGCGGUAGGGGAGAAGGAAGGCGUAGGGCUCACACAAGUAAGUGCAGGACCCCCUACGGGCCUUUCUGAAGUGUGGCACAGCCAGGGAGGUAGGGGGGAGUGUGAAGCCUAGAGAGGCGGAAGCGGCAAAUCGCUUCUAACGAGUUCCCCAACACUUAGCUUAGUAGCUUAACUCUUUAUACUGGCGUGGCGCUGCUGGAUGCUUCUGAUCAAUAGGAAUAGGAGGAAAAAGAAAAGCUUAUGAUGAGCAUCUAUUGGAGUCGAUCAUUUCCAAGAUCUAAUUCCAGUUUCUUAUUAUGUAGUGGAAACGCCUCACAAUCUUCAGUUUUACGCUUACGCUUAAGGGAAGAAAUGUUCUUGGUGGAUGCAGGACCUGGUACCCCCAAAAUUUGUAUGCAAGAUGAGCCUACAGGAGUGCCAAUCAACCGAGCCACCAGGUUUGAGAAUAAGGUGGGAUCCCUGAAUGUAGUGGCUGGUGAAUCACUGAUCAAAAAGCGGAUUUUUGAGAGAUUCUUCAUCGAUCUAGUGGCCGGUGAAUCACUGAUCAAAGAGCGAGCAGCCGCCAGGUUUAAUGAUUUUGUUGGAUCCCUGGAUGUAGCGGCUGGUGAACCGCUUCUUCUUCCACGAAGAUUCAGACAAAACCGAGCUUGGAUGGAACUGAAGAAGAUUUGGCGAACGAAGAAAAAGGUCAAAGGGUUUAUUAUUGACAAAGUCAAAGGAGGUUAUUCAGUAGCCAUCGCAGGUUUCAUUACUUUUCUUCCAUUCUGUCCUCUCAUAACUCAAAGGAUAGCGAAUGAUCGAUUCACCAUUGAGAGCAUUAACCCAAAAAGGAGGAAUAUUGUGGUGUUAUAACAGCGGCAGAUCAAACAAGAACGUCGAUGAGAAAAAAAAAAGAAAGAGAAAAUUUUUCCAAAUCCGAAGCCCACCUUAAUCCAUUCUUUUUUUGAGGGUCUUGCACUUAUUCCGGCCCUCUAUUUACAUAGCGAAGAAAGGCUCUUGCUCGAAUGCGUGACUGCGGAGCGCCUAUCGCUCUGGCACGGCACUCUAAAAUGCAUGUUGGGUUGGGCCAGCAAGAAGACUGCGACUAGGGAGACGAAGAAUGGAAUUGAAGAAGGCAUAGUCUAACAUAACAGAAUGGAACACCAACCAACGAGUGAGUGGCGGAUUUGGAUGGAGUCUCGCAGAAGAAGAGUACGCGCGCUAGCGCGCCCCAAGACGUAAGUACUUUUUCCGCUUGCUGGCCAAGGAAGAGAGAAACCUUCAUCCCUUCCAACACCAACCCAAUCUCCAUUCCUUGAUGGGAAAUGAGCAAGACCAUAUUUUGAUAUAAAAUAUAGCCCCCUAUAUCAACCUGCCCCUUACUACCCGAACUUCUUACCUUCAAAUAGGACUAACUACCCGAACCCGCUUGCUUAUCUUAUACGAUCUAAUUAAGUUAAGCAGUGGUUAUUUAACGAAUAUGAAUUUUGUGAAACGAACUUCUAUCGACUACUAUUCUAGCACCCAGCUGUGCCAUGUCUUUAUUCUUUGAUUCAGGUAUUCCUUUGAUCAACUCUUCUUUUCAGGUCAGACAAUUUUUCAGAUCUUCUUAGUCAGCCUAUCUGUGUUCUUAUCCUAUAGUGCGGAUCCAAUCUUCUUUUCAGAAGCCAAGGCCUGACAUCUAUUGUGGGGAUCAUCUUUUAUCGGGAGACAUGGCCUGGUGGUUUCUGGUCGAGACUCCUAAUCAAUAGGGCGAAGAGCUCUUCGCAUGAUCUGGUCGUACGUUUCGUCAACGCUCUUCUAUUUUUUUUGUCCCUUCUCAGCUGCAGUCCUUACUAUUAAAACAUGAUGUAUGAUGUGUUAGCGUGAAAAGCGGCCAAGACGAGUAGAAAGCGCAAGGCUGACCGAAACGAAACUUCUCGAACCAGGCUCUUGGAAGGAAUAAAGGUGUUAGGGAGAAAAAACCUGUCCUAAGAAAAAAUAUAACUCCAACUGUAUACUUAACUUAAUAGGGUGAGGUAAGAUUUUAGAUUCAAAAGUGAGACUAAAGUUGGGGUAUAGGCAGUGAAUCAAUCAUUAUGCAGUCUUUACUCCAGAAAAAACAAACUAACGAUUGAUUCCGACGAUCUUCAGUCAGGAAUGACUUGGAAAGGGCAGUAGAAGCUAAGCUAAGCGAAAGAUUAUCACGUUCACUCAGUCGGUCAAUCAUUCGAUUGAAAUUUCAUCCAAGUUUGUUUACGACAGACUCCAUACCAAGGAUGGUUGUCUUCUCCUUCUUAUUCGUUCAGUCAAUGGGUCAGUCAUGGAAGGGUACUUAUGAGUGUUCUAAGUGCUUGAUCGAUCGCGAUGGAAUCUAGGUCACUAAGGUCGCACUAUCCGCCUGCUCCUGAGUUGGCUGAAAGGAAUUCGUUCUUUCAGUCCGUACGAGUGUUCUAGGGAGGCCAUUGAUCGCUCGCGAGUGCAUCUACGUCUUGAUCCGUCAUGCUUCCAUUCAUCCAUCAAUCUGUCAGUCCUUCGCGGAAGAGUGUAACCAAGUCCGCUUAGUAAUCUACUCUAUCGAUCAAUCUUCUUCUAAGGAAAGACCCGAAUCGAACACUCGUACCAUCCCCGCUUAAGUCCGUUUUCAUUACCUUAGUCAACUUCGGAUUAGGUACCGUCCCUAUCCGUGGUACAGAUAUUCUACUUAUGUAAAGUAGAAUUGUGCCUGAAUGGGCACAAGGAGAUGGGGCUCACCAUCUCUCCGGACGCCAUAUGUUCGAAUUGUAGAGAGUGUGGACCCUGUAGAGGCAUAGGCCAUUAUUUUUAAGGUUUGGUAUCUGCACCCGAGCUGGAGGAGAUUUGAUGCCGAAAGACCACUUGUAAAGCACAUAGCGCUCUCCUCUUGGGCACCCAGAAAAAAAUGAAAAUGGAAAGAAGGCGAGUAACCAUCCGUUCAUCCAUUUUUCUUUUCAAUUCGACGAACUGCCCUCCAGGCAGCAGACAGACUGAAGGCAAUGGGGAUUUAGCCAUUGGCAGGCUAGAUCACAUGAUCCUGAUGGCACCUUCGGCAACAAAAAAAAAGAAAUUGGCAUUUUCCAUGAUGCCAGCAGAGAGAUAAAAUGAAUGAAGGAAAAAAGUGUUGGGAUGAUCUAUGGGAAGCCAAGAGGCACCCAUAUUCUCCGAUGAGCGCAAAGAUAAGAGCCCAAUGAAAGGCAAGGUGCCUUGUCUGAUUCCAACGAAAAUAUAUGUUAAUAGUUGGACUAUGAAAAAACCAUAAAUCACUAAGUAAUAAGCUUCUUCUAUAAGAGCAAGGGAAAGUGAUAAGGAUCAAUAAGCUCCGGAGAGUGAGGAGGAGCAAAGCGAUGAAGAGGCAGAAGGUGAAGAGGAGGAGAAAGUGAUGACCCCACUAAACGAGUAGAGGAAAGGUCCCUGAGCCUCUCUGAACUGAUGUGACCAAGCCUCCGGUGCCACAGAUGCCACAGCCUAUUAGCUGUCUGUAUCUCAGAUGAAGAAGGUGCUAGGACGAAUGCAGCCCUCAUCACAUCAGGGGUGGGGACGGAGCAGAAGUCUAGAUAGAACAGCCGCCCUACGGCCUUUCCCAAUCCGCUUCCCUAUCACUAGAUCCUGAACAAACCCCCCUAAAAAAACACAAUGCAUUUAUUUUGACAAGUUUACCAACAGAUAGUUGGUUCAUCGAAAGUUGAGGAACAAAGAAAAAAAUGAAAAUGAAAAAAAGAAAUUUCGCCUUCCUCUUCCAGUUUAGCUAGACUCCUUGUUGUAGCAUAAAUUUCUUAUAAGCUUGUUGAGAAGUCUAAAGAAAGUCUUUCUACUGUACCAGAACGUCGAGUGAAUGUGAUCGUGAUCUCUACCACUAGACAUACAUACGUAGCGCUUUAGUGUAGCUAGUACAAGUGCAUACCAUGAUUCAUUCUUUUUUUACAUAACGGCUUGCAUUGCAUGAUAGAAGAAGCACUGUGCAAAGAAGAAGACUCGGGCUUGAUAAGUCUUUUUACUAAACUUGUUAUCGACGUCAGAACUGACUCGGCUACUUCUCGGCCGGAACUGGCACCCUGCUUGACUGCUAAGGAGGAGAGCUUGGUAUUUCACUCUUUUUCGAAGAGGAGUCAGAUAUUUUCGAUGGAGCAAUACCCCUUUUGGCUUUUUCAACCAUUUACCAGACAAGGAUCUUCUUUAUAGCCAAUAUAGAUAAGAUAGGGAUUGGGGGCUCUUGAACUGCUUAUCAGCCCGAAGCAACACUACUCUUUUCCCUUGGGCCUGAUCCGACAACUAUGAAAGGCAAUGCAGUAGUUUUCUGAAUCUUAUCUUCUAUCAUUUGCUUUAUCCAACAUGUCUGCUACAAUUCCGUUCCAGUCACUUUUUCCACGGAUGCAAUUCUUCAGCAGCUGAUUCUGCAGAUGCAAUAGUGGCUUCUGCGGCUGGAAACAUAGCUGCUUCAGCUUCAGAGGUUGCGAUAUCUAUCUAUAACAAGGAUCAUCGAGCAAAUGUCUCUGCAACUAAACUGUAAAAUCAUAAAGAGGAGAUAGAGAUAUUAAGCGCAUUCAGUUUAAGAAGCUCAAUACAAAGAUAAGUGCAGUGCUCUAACUAUCUUUCUUCUAAAGAAAAUUUAUCAAAUCUCCACUCCAAUCUCCAAUCAGCAAGACAAGGGGGAUAGCUCUGUAUAUAGAUAUAAGGGGGGACGACAUAGAUGCAUGAACACAUACUUCACAGGCAAUAAUGCAUUUAUCGAAUGAAAAGUGGAUUCAUUCGACCAUGGGCAUUCUCUUUUGUUCUCAAUUAUUCAAAAAACUAUAUUGAAUAGUAAAAGAAAAACGAUUAGCAUGUGAUAAGCAAAAGGCAAUCAUCAAACGUCGGACUGGGACUGGACCAAUGUGUACCUUGCUGCAGCUAGCUCGUACUCUGCGUUUACCAUCCAAUCUAUCAUAGUCAGCUCAUCCUAGGUAAGUCAAGUCCAUCUCUUUUAGGUUGUCAUAGACAGAUGAAUAGUGAAAAGGAAGCUUUAGCUAACAUAUGAACGUCGAUGAAAAUAUAAAGAAUUUGAUUCCAAGGACCACCACCUCUUAAACAAGCAAUUGGCUUUCUCUUCUUCCAACAACAAGCUAUGAGGCGGGCAAAAUUCGUCUAAUUCGAAUGCCCUAAUCUUCAUUCAUCUUCUUCCAUAGAGUUAGAGUAGCAUAGGUUAGUGUGCACGGAAAGAGAAAAUCAGACUCUGUUGGCUUUGCUAGGCCAGUUAUCUGAAGUCGACGCCUUGGACUUAGAAUGAAACUGUGACCCAUCUUUGAUUGAAAGCCUGGCUCCUUCACAGUCCGCAGCAGAUAGAAGAAGGGUAGGUCUGUGAUUCAUACCAUAUGGCUUGCUAUUUCAUUCGGUUGGCUUAGCUUUCAUCCACCUUUGUUUUUUAAGAAAAGUUUUUACACCAUCUUCUUCGUCUUCUUUGGAAGCUAACUAAGAAGAAAAGAUAAUCAGUCCCUUGUGCUCUGAUUCAUUCUUUUAUGUAUGUGGCUUCUUUCUGAUCUAGUCUAGGAGCACAAAGUCUGUCAAAGAAGGGUUAAGGUCUGUCUCUGGCCGGUAUUUCACCUAAAAAAAGAGAAAGUUCUUCUUUUUUUCUUAUUUAUACUUUUUUUUUGUCUAUGUCCAGCAUUGACUGUUCUGGCACCUCAUCAAUUAUCAAAUGAAGGGUUCGUUCUAUUUUAUUUGGUACCCAAUUCGUAGCUGAAUCGGACACAACCCAUUUUCUGGUCUUUUCUUUCGCUUUCGAACGAAUCCAUGAAGUAGGACAUAGAUUUAUCACACUCAAGAAGAUUCUGUUGAGUAUGAUAGACUCUCCAACACAGCAUUGGCUCGUGUUUAAACGGAGUGCUCUACCUAACUGAACUAUAGCUAUAGAGAUCUUAACAUAUAGAGUCGAGAAUUUCUUUUAAAUAAGGAUAUUCCAUGUUCCCAAGCCCAAACCAAGAGUCUGAAUUUGAUCAACAUAUUCAGUCUAGUAGAAGGAAGGGAGAUACGUUCCGCCCGUUUUCUUCUACUCUAGCAUCUACGGUUGGGGGUUGGUAGGGGCCAGGCCAGGUUUUGUUUCUACUUACCGCCCCGUCCCCGCUUGGAUGGAGGGAGUGGAGAAGGCCUGCUCGCUGAGCUCGGCAGGAAGGAAACAGGGCAAGACAAAGCUCGCUUCUACCCCUCCGUCUAACCUAUUGGCAGCCUACUCCGGUCGGAGCUCUACCUACAAGAACGAGAGGCGAGUAGAGGAAGGAAGUCACUCGCUCUAUAGUAAGUAUAAAUAAGGAGAGGAACGAGAGCUGCUUUUUUUUCCCUUGCUUGACCCGCUUACUUUGAACUAAUUAAACAUGACCUUUCCUGGGGAGUCUCGCUCUGAAAAAGAAGGUUCCAAUGAAUCCGAGGAAAACAGCACAUUAUGGCCAUGACCAGCUAAAGAUCACUGCCAUCUCACGAAUUGGAUUCGAAGCAAUAAAGCGACUUUCCUUUUAGUAGAUCGUGAGUGGGUCUAUCGUCCUCCUCAUUAUAGUUCUCCUAUCUAAAAAUCACGUCCAAUGGCAUUCAUGCUAUGUUGUUUGUUAUUUCGUGGUGGUCGAGUUCUCUAACCGUCUUUCUCAACUAAGUAGAUUAGACCCCCCUCGUCUACUGAGAACAUUCCAUUGACACAGGGAAUCGGAAAGCCACCCUUCACUACACAUGUGACUUUUGCCGCGAGGCGGAGUUCUCUUAGUAUCGCCUCGAUCCUUUCAAAAGAAAAGGAAGCGAGGAAUGAACCGAACCUGGGGAAUGUUUUACUCCACGUGCUGACCGAUCACUCUCUGAUUUUGAUGAACCAUACGCUAAUUGACCUUGAAAGAAAGCACCUGCUUCCAUCACAAGAACGGGACAGACUAUCGGCGCGGGCGACCAUCUCUUCUUUUGAUAUGCUUAUAACGGAUACGGAUGCAAUGAUCCUCUUUCUCGUCGUCGUUUGGGUGUCCCUUAAUGGGCGCCUUUCUGGAGAGCAUUCCGUUUCACUCUAGAUCUGGUUCUGAGGAAGAGAUCUCAUCUGCUAUAUCGGGCUUCCUGCUUCCUGAGUUCUCUCAUGACUCAUCAGCAUCAGAGGCUGCCCCGCCUACCUUGCCAUCAGCCGUCUCAGAUGCCACAGAUCCCUCUGCCGAUGCCGCCAGACCAUCAGCUCCGUUGCAGACGUACUCCCGCGGGGACCCGAGCAUUCUACAUGUUCCUGCGAUAGAACAGUUCGCCCAGUCGUCUGCCUCUCCCAGUCAGCCUGCACCUGUUGCGGAUUCUGCUCCGCCGGUUCGUCGUUCCUCUCGUCUUUCCGUUCCUCCUUCUCGUUUUCUUUCCGUUUACUCUUUUUCUCCAGGUCAUAGGGCCUUUUAGUUUGGCCUCGGUUCACUCGUUCCAUGAACCCCCUACCUGAAAAGGGCCUACCGAGAGGCUGCAUCGCUUCCUUGCUGGCACCAAGAAAAAGGGCUUCAAAGCUCCUUUUUUAAACCCGAUUAAUCUAUAAAAAAAGCCUGCGUAGUAAACUCCUUGUUUUCUUUCUGAUAGCUGCCGAGUUUUCAAGUCAAGCGAGAAAGCAAGUGGAUCAGAAAAAGUCUUUCUGGUUGUCUCACAAAAGAGUACAGCGUGGCGGUAUACCUCUUUCUUUGUAAAAGGUUUUAAGGAUAUGGUUAAGCGAGCCAGUUGGCUCAACACAGCUUUAUACGUGAAAUGCUGUAGUGUGUCGCUUAUGCGCGCCUAUGGCGGAUGUUGGGAUCGACACGAAUCCUUACCGCAUCCGAUAUCCCUAGCAAGGCUCGAGAGACCUCGAGUGAUACCGAACUUCCAUAGAAGACUAAUUCGUCGUCAUGACGUUCGGGCGGACAGAUUAGUCAAAAUGUAUCUAUCCAUGUUCUCAGUGUCUAAGCUGAUUCUUGUUCCUAAACAGAGCAACUAUCAGUUUAGUAGCAUUGUGGACGACCCGUCGACAGACGUCGAGAGUGUUUUGGAGAAGUACGGUAUCCUAGUGAAGGACCUUUUCUUAAGGUAUGUGCAAGAACUUCCUUCCAUCCCUAUGGAGGUGGGCCUGAAUUGGCGUCCUUUCUGGUCUUCAUCUCCGGUGAAAGGUGAUAAGGCCCUAGUGGGCCGGACUCCCUUCCAUCGGAUGAUUUGGGAGCUGUUUGCGAUCGCUUUAUGGGAUCGCGCGGUUCUCAAGGGGUUGAACCCCAAGGAUCCGGAUAGGGCGGCGAAACGGGCUUGGCCGUUUGAAGGUUGGUUCCUUUACUGGAGCUCUAUCUUUAUACUGCCCCUGUUCAGCUCAUUCUUUCUGCCUAAGACCGUCUAUCCUUGCGAGGUCGCAAGUGAUGAGGAUCGGUCUCUGCGUGUCCUCCCUGUGAAGGUUGUAGAGUGACCUUCGGAUUCAAUUAAUAAUGAACGGCAAAGUCAUUUCAAAAGCAGUUGGUGCUGCUAGUUCAGAUGGUGCAGCUAGCGCUAGAGUUAGGAAGGCAAGAAGGCAAGGAGUUAGUUCACAGCGUCGAAGUCUGAAAGCAGAAGGCGCAGAAGGAUAUUAACGACUAGUUCUGAAGGCCAGGAAGACCGGAAAGCCUACUUCGCUCAUCAAGUCAAGCUGAAAAACGUGAUAGACGUGCGUACUCGCGCGAUAUGGCUUUUCAGCACGGGGGCAAGCUUAAGAAGAGAGUAGGGGCGCGCUAGCUGCGAAGAAAACGCUUACACAAUAUAGAUAUAGGGGCGCGCUAGCCCCCUACUAGUAAAGACUUUUCCCUUUACUAUUAAAUUUAGGUUUUUGGAAUUGAUUUUGAUCAACCGAGUACCGAGCAAAAAUGACUUGCUUUACUAACAGCAGCACCUGCCGUGGGCUUUACUGACUAACGAGUUCUCUGUCGCUAUCCGUCUAGAAGAUUGUGAAAACGGUUUUUUUCCUGGUUUAAUAGGGAGACGGUUGAAUAAUGUUGCUUAUGCCUUGAGCGGCUGAGUUAGCUGCAUUAAAGCUGGACGAGCAGGCCGGCACUUGUGCCGCACGGACCGCGUUGAGACCGCUAAGUCCGUGACAGCUAGCAAGCAAGCAGGCAAGCAAGAAAUAAAAGCUAGGAAAACGUACUAAAGCGCGCUCUAACGCACAAAGGCGAAAAUGGUGGCUCUACAGACCUAUUAUACUAGGGGAGACGGCAUUGCGACUUAACCGCCACUCGCCAAGCUCCUUAUGGUGGUGCUGUGAGAGUGAAUUCCCAGUCUUCCGGACCAACUUCCAACAGCCGCGAGCCACCGCUUUCUCCCUCUUCGUUCUCCUUUCUUUCACGGGGCGUUAUGCGUGAUUUGGUUGGUGGUCAGUAUCUCUGCUGGGUACCGGAGUGCGAUCCCAUAGCCAAGGGGCCUAGUGACGAUCUAAUCGCAUUUUCCGUCGCCCUAAGUGUUCAGUUCCAACGCUACGAUCGUCCGCGCGCACCGGUUGCACGCGUUAGCUACAUAGAGGUGUGUAGCAGAAGAAUCGCCAUGUGAAGCUUACGAGCUUGUGAUGGGCCGAGCCUAAGGCGUCCCUUCCUACCUGUGUGCGUUGGACAGCGCAUAUUUUCCGGGUCUCUUUCCGAACUUGGUACUAGCUUUCUUCUCUGUCUUACCUUGUUCUUGAGUUUCCAAGGCUCUUUCCCAUCGAAGUCCUUGUUGGGCAGGUGCUAUUCGGGCAGAUUCAACUUCGAGCUAGGCUUUGCUGACUUGAAAGUCCAGGUGGAAGUAGUCAGAAUUGCUGACAAGCGGAGCUCUACUGAACCUACUUUAUAAAUGCAAUCGCCGGAUGAUUUCCCAUCUCCUGAAAAAUAUCCUAAGUGAGGUGGACUUUAUCCAUACCGUACUGGCAGGUACGAUGAGGUUUCUUAAGAAUACCAAUUCUUUCGGACCGAAGCGCGCUCAAUGGCUUUUUGGGGCUUUUCGCGAUGCCGAGAUAACUAACUACCCCUCCUCCCAAUGGGAAUAGGGGUUACGUCAUGUACGAAACUUUCUUUAUAGUAUACCACUUCUAACUUGACUACUUAAUAGUAUACCACUUCUGGCUCGUCAUGCUGCAUCUCUUCCGAGACCAGGACCUUUUAUCACGACUUUCGCCUCUUUCGUACCCUGCUUCCACUACUGUACGAAUAGCAUUUCCUUCUACACGAAUAGCAUUUCCUGCUACGGUUUGAGCAGCAAACGGGGUGUCCCAAAUCUCUUUUUCUCUUUUGCCUUUGAAUUCAAAAGUACCUGCGUAGGACCAAGAAACCCCCGGCAAGAGUAGGCCAAAGAAGCAAAGGAAUGAGCGCCUCGCCUUUACUCUAAUAAGGGCGUUAGCGCAUCCGUUUUCUUUCGUAUCGCUAGGCGCUCACGUUUUUUGUCUGGGUGAGGAUUGUUUUUUUGGCUUGCAACUUGAUUAGAGAAGGGCCGAUUUGACUGAAGCUUUCGAGAGCCUCCCUACAGAUCUUUUGCAUGCAACUUUCCUUCCUCCAGCAGUUCCUUAUGAUUCGGACAGCAGUUCCUUAUGAUUCGGAAUAGAGACUCCUUCAUCCCAUACCCCUAUAAUAAUGGUAGAGUAAGGGCUCAGGGUACCUUCCAUGAAUGGGACGGAGAAAUCGAUCGAUACCGCCUUACCUGAUAGGGGGAAAAGCGCCGGCCGAGCGGCGCAACGAUCAGUGUCAAUCAGCGGAAAAGGACCCUAAUCGAUUCGGGGUCGGUUGCUGUUGCCAAUAAGAGAGAUCCGUCGUUGCUGCCGGUCUUUCCACCAAUGAGCACUUGCUUGAGACCCCUUCACGCUGCAACCAAAGACCGCGCUUCGCUUGGUAAGAACCGAGACCCUUCGGCAGUCAACCUAUGGUUACCUUACGAUAGCUCAGGUUGGUUAGUCAAGUAAAUGGCGGCUACAGGAAGACAUACUUAAUGAAGCGGUGAAGCGGUCCAGCACUAACUAAAGGAUAGCCAUGGCCGGCUAGCGAGCCACUAAGAGAUUGGUUCUGCUUGGGAAGGGUCUACCCCAAAAAGAGUGUGUUUCUUCGGCCCUUCAUUAUUAUUAGUAAGAUGGGGCGUAUCUUAGCUCCUCCGCAUGCUACUUACGAUGCCCUCUCUCGGCUGGGCCAGGAGCAGACACUAUACCUCACAAGCGAGUCAAGAGAAAAGUCGAGGAAGAUGUGGAGUAGGAAUGCAAGUCGAGUCAUCAAGUCAAUUACACUCGCUCCCGUAUCUCUCGCAGAUCUCACGGAUAGAAUCAAACAAGAUCAAUCGUGUAUUUCUCAGUGGUCUUAGAGGCGAGGUUUUGUACGUGCAGGGAAUGGAAGUGCUUACUGACCUAGUAGGCAAGAGGGUUGGUUCAGCAAUGCGGAUCAAGUGUAGCGCAUUCCGAAAGUCAAGAAGCAAAUCAAGGUUAGAAAAUCGAGCAGGGCGGGAAAGGUGAGCAAGUGCAAGUUCGAUAUGCAAGAUACGAGAUGCGCAAGUCAAGUCAGCGAGCGAGAUACAAUAAGGACCAACCUCGCCAUCCGGGUUGAGAGAGAGAAAUUGAACAAGUAUGGUCCUCCCCUAUGGGGAUGUACUAUGAAACAAAAAUGGGGAUUAUCCGCAAAGAACUACGGUAGAGCGGUUUAUGAAUGUCUACGCGGUGGACUUGAUUUUACCAAGGAUGAUGAAAACGUGAACUCACAACCAUUUAUGCGUUGGAGAGACCUUUUCUUAUUUUCUGCCAACGCAAUUUAUAAAGCGCAGGCCGAAACGGGUAAAAUCAAAGGACAUUACUUGAAUGCUACUGCGGGUACAUGUGAAGAAAUGAUAAAAAGGGCCGUAUUUGCCAGAGAAUUGGGAGUUCCUAUCGUAAUGCAUGACUACAACACUGGGGGAUUCACUGCAAAUACUAGCUUGGCUCAUUAUUGCCGCGAUAACGGCCUACUUCUUCACAUCCAUCGCGCAAUGCAUGCAGUUAUUUAUAGACAGAAAGAUCAUGGUAUGCAUUUUCGUGUACUAGCUAAAGCAUUACGUAUGUCUGGUGGAGAUCAUAUUCACGCAGGUACAGUAGUGGGUAAACUGGAAGGGGAACGUGAGAUGACUUUGGGUUUUGUUGAUUUAUUACGUGAUGAUUUUAUUGAAAAAGACCGAAGUCGCGGUAUCUUUUUUACUCAAGAUUGGGUCUCUAUGCCAGGUGUUUUGCCCGUGGCUUCAGGGGGUAUUCAUGUUUGGCAUAUGCCUGCCCUGACCGAAAGAUUUUGGGAUGAUUCCGUACUACAGUUUGGCGGAGGAACUUUAGGACACCCUUGGGGAAAUGCACCCGGUGCAGUAGCUAAUCGGGUGGCUUUAGAAGCGUGUAUACAAGCUCGUAAUGAGGGACGUGAUCUUGCUCGUGAAGGUAAUGAAAUUAUCCGUGAAGCUAGCAAAUGGAGCCCUGAACUAGCCGCUUCAUCCCCGAAACCCGGUUCCCAGCUGAUAGAUGGUGAAUGAAGCCUCCUUGGCCCCUAAUCCCCCUUCGUAAAAUAUAUAACCAUAAACAGGGCCUGAAUUACUUGUUUGUGUUCGAUCAGUUCUAUUUGAAGACUUUGUUUCUAGACCUGCUUCGAUUCAAAUCAAUUCUUCGAGCCUGCCACGGGCUUUCCAAUUUUCUUAGUCUGAUGGAACGAACCUUGACUGAAACUGAAUUAUCAACCCUAUCUUUUUGGCUUAUUUAUAGUCUGACCCGCUUUGAAUGAGACCUUCGAAUAGGAUUGAUUGGGGUAUAUGAGCUGGGAAAGAAAGUAGACCAGAAAGAUAG
rnacentral:lncRNA from 1 species